rnacentral:rRNA from 1 species
GACGAACGCUGGCGGCGUGCUUAACACAUGCAAGUCGAACGAUGAAGCCGGAGCUUGCUCUGGUGAAUUAGUGGCGAACGGGUGAGUAACACGUGAGUAACCUGCCCUUGACUCUGGGAUAACUGCGGGAAACUGUAGCUAAUACCGGAUACGACCCUCGGAGGCAUCUCCUGGGGGUGGAAAGAAUUUCGGUCAAGGAUGGACUCGCGGCCGAUCAGCUAGUUGGUGAGGUAAAGGCUCACCAAGGCGACGACGGGUAGCCGGCCUGAGAGGGUGACCGUCCACACUGGGACUGAGACACGGCCCAGACUCCUACGGGAGGCAGCAGUGGGGAAUAUUGCACAAUGGGCGCAAGCCUGAUGCAGCAACGCCGCGUGAGGGAUGACGGCCUUCGGGUUGUAAACCUCUUUUAGCAGGGAAGAAGCGAAAGUGACGGUACCUGCAGAAAAAGCACCGGCUAACUACGUGCCAGCAGCCGCGGUAA